UAGGGAAUAUUCCACAAUGAGCGAAAGCUUGAUGGAGCGACACAGCGUGCACGAUGAAGGUCUUCGGAUUGUAAAGUGCUGUUAUAAGGGAAGAACAUUUGCAAUAGGAAAUGAUUGCAGACUGACGGUACCUUGUCAGAAAGCGAUGGCUAACUAUGUGCCAGCAGCCGCGGUAAUACAUAGGUCGCAAGCGUUAUCCGGAAUUAUUGGGCGUAAAGCGUUCGUAGGCUGUUUGUUAAGUCUGGAGUUAAAUCCCGGGGCUCAACCCCGGCUCGCUUUGGAUACUAGCAAACUAGAGUUAGAUAGAGGUAAGCGGAAUUCCAUGUGAAGCGGUGAAAUGCGUAGAUAUCAGGAGGAACACCGGUGGCGAAGGCGGGUCUCUGGGCCGUUACUGACGCUGAGGAGCGAAAGCGUGGGGAGCGAACAGG
rnacentral:rRNA from 1 species